GACGAACGCUGGCGGCGUGCCUAAUACAUGCAAGUCGAACGCAGUGGGGACGGGUGAGUAACACGUGGGUAACCUCCCAUCAGAGGGGAUAACACUUGGAAACAGGUGCUAAACCGAUACUGAUGGAUGGACCCGCGGUGCAUUAGCUAGUUGGUGAGGUAACGGCUCACCAAGGCCACGAUGCAUAGCCGGCCUGAGAGGGGGAUCGGCGACACAGGGACUCAAACCCGGCCCAGACUCCUACGGGAGGGAGCAGGAGGGAAUCUUCCGCAAUGGACGAAAGUCUGACCGAGCAACGCCGCGUGAGUGAAGAAGGUUUUCGGAUCGUAAAACUCUUUUAUUAGGGAAACGGUAUCUAACCAGAAAGCCCCGGCUAACUACGUGCCAGCAGCCGCGGUAAUUC
rnacentral:rRNA from 1 species